rnacentral:lncRNA from 1 species
CUCCCACUGUGGCCACAUCCUCCAUCUUCAAAGGCAGCAAGUUCCGGCAGAGUCCUCCUCACACCGCCAUCUUCCUCACACCGCCAUCUUCCUCACACUACCAUUUUCCUCACACCGCCAUCUUUAUGGAUCUUUCUCUUCACCGUCCCUCUUCCAUGUAUGAGGACCUUUAUGGUUACAUUGAGCUCAACUGGAUAAACCAGGAUAAUCUCCUCAUCUCACAAUCAAUUUUUAUUUUUCUGCCACUAAGGAUUGAUACCUCAAGAGACACCCAUCACUCUGAGAGGGAGUCAUCCACACGGCAGCUCAGACAGUUCUGCACGCUGGCAGGAAAGCCGCUCGUGGUACAAUCAUUACUUUCUGUUAAAGUUUUAUUAAAGAAAAAACAACAACAGUGAUGAAUGUGUACUGGUUUUCCAGGACUAUAUAAUAAA